GACAGAGGUUGCAAACGUUGUUCGGAAUUACUGGGCAUAAAGCGCACGUAGGCGGUCCACUAAGUCAGGUGUGAAAUCCCCCGGCUCAACCGGGGAAUUGCGCCUGAUACUGGCGGGCUCGAGAUCGGUAGGGGUGAGCGGAACUCCAGGUGGAGCGGUGAAAUGCGUAGAUAUCUGGAGGAACACCGGUGGCGAAAGCGGCUCACUGGAUCGACACUGACGCUGAGGUGCGAAAGCUAGGGUAGCAAACGGG
rnacentral:rRNA from 1 species